rnacentral:rRNA from 1 species
CCUACGGGAGGCAGCAGUGGGGAAUAUUGCACAAUGGGGGAAACCCUGAUGCAGCAACGCCGCGUGAGUGAAGAAGUAUUUCGGUAUGUAAAGCUCUAUCAGCAGGGAAGAGAAUGAAGGUACCUUACUAAGGAGCCCCGGCUAACUACGGGCCAGCAGCCGCGGUAAUUCGUAGGGGGCGAGCGUUUACCGGAUUUACUGGGUGUAAAGGGAGCGUAGACGGGUCUGCAAGUCAGAAGUGAAAGCCCGUGGCUUAACCGUGGAACGGCUUUGGAAACUUUGGAACUGGAGUGCUGGAGAGGUAAGCGGAAUUCCUAGUGUAGCGGUGAAAUGCGUAGAUAUUAGGAGGAACACCAGUGGCGAAGGCGGCUUGCUGGACAGUAACUGACGUUGAGGCUCGAAAGCGUGGGGAGCAAACAGGAUUAGAUACCCGGGUAGUC